AUGAACGCUAGCUACAGGCUUAACACAUGCAAGUCGAGGGGCAGCAUGGUCUUAGCUUGCUAAGGCCGAUGGCGACCGGCGCACGGGUGAGUAACACGUAUCCAACCUGCCGUCUACUCUUGGACAGCCUUCUGAAAGGAAGAUUAAUACAAGAUGGCAUCAUGAGUCCGCAUGUUCACAUGAUUAAAGGUAUUCCGGUAGACGAUGGGGAUGCGUUCCAUUAGAUAGUAGGCGGGGUAACGGCCCACCUAGUCUUCGAUGGAUAGGGGUUCUGAGAGGAAGGUCCCCCACAUUGGAACUGAGACACGGUCCAAACUCCUACGGGAGGCAGCAGUGAGGAAUAUUGGUCAAUGGGCGAGAGCCUGAACCAGCCAAGUAGCGUGAAGGAUGACUGCCCUAUGGGUUGUAAACUUCUUUUAUAAAGGAAUAAAGUCGGGUAUGGAUACCCGUUUGCAUGUACUUUAUGAAUAAGGAUCGGCUAACUCCGUGCCAGCAGCCGCGGUAAUACGGAGGAUCCGAGCGUUAUCCGGAUUUAUUGGGUUUAAAGGGAGCGUAGAUGGAUGUUUAAGUCAGUUGUGAAAGUUUGCGGCUCAACCGUAAAAUUGCAGUUGAUACUGGAUAUCUUGAGUGCAGUUGAGGCAGGCGGAAUUCGUGGUGUAGCGGUGAAAUGCUUAGAUAUCACGAAGAACUCCGAUUGCGAAGGCAGCCUGCUAAGCUGCAACUGACAUUGAGGCUCGAAAGUGUGGGUAUCAAACAGGAUUAGAUACCCUGGUAGUCCACACAGUAAACGAUGAAUACUCGCUGUUUGCGAUAUACUGCAAGCGGCCAAGCGAAAGCGUUAAGUAUUCCACCUGGGGAGUACGCCGGCAACGGUGAAACUCAAAGGAAUUGACGGGGGCCCGCACAAGCGGAGGAACAUGUGGUUUAAUUCGAUGAUACGCGAGGAACCUUACCCGGGCUUAAAUUGCAGAUGAAUUACGGUGAAAGCCGUAAGCCGCAAGGCAUCUGUGAAGGUGCUGCAUGGUUGUCGUCAGCUCGUGCCGUGAGGUGUCGGCUUAAGUGCCAUAACGAGCGCAACCCUUGUUGUCAGUUACUAACAGGUUCCGCUGAGGACUCUGACAAGACUGCCAUCGUAAGAUGUGAGGAAGGUGGGGAUGACGUCAAAUCAGCACGGCCCUUACGUCCGGGGCUACACACGUGUUACAAUGGGGGGUACAGAGGGCCGCUACCACGCGAGUGGAUGCCAAUCCCAAAAACCUCUCUCAGUUCGGACUGGAGUCUGCAACCCGACUCCACGAAGCUGGAUUCGCUAGUAAUCGCGCAUCAGCCACGGCGCGGUGAAUACGUUCCCGGGCCUUGUACACACCGCCCGUCAAGCCAUGGGAGCCGGGGGUACCUGAAGUGCGUAACCGCGAGGAGCGCCCUAGGGUAAAACUGGUGACUGGGGCU
rnacentral:rRNA from 1 species